ACUACAGGAUGGGAUUUCUGUGUGCAGUAACAGGAAAGGUUUAGUAGGUGGCAUGCCAGCACUUUUCUUAUGUGUAAUUUUGCUUUUAGUGGAUUAAUAGAGACCAUGCUUUUCUUUUCCUUUGUAUUUUUCUUAAUGUUCCUUUAUAUAUAAAUGGGUAUGGAUAUAUAUACUAGAUGCUAUAUGUACUCUGUUAUACUAUAUCUAGUGUAUCUUUUUUUCUGUCCUCUUUUCCUUCCUAUCUGAGUGCUUUAAUUCCAAGUGUCUGAUUCAGUGCAAUUCAGGCUUUAUGUUCAACAAACAAAGGUGUGUACACAAGAGUGGCACUGCUACUUUUUGUUCUGUAGUUUCUGUUAUACAUCUAUUUUCUAUUUUUCAUUUGGGACUCACAGGGAAUCAGGGACUCACAAAUCAGGGAAUACAAAUUCUCCCGUUCUUCCCAAUGCUCCAUGGGUGUACUACCCAAAUCCUGCGUUGAGUGCAAGGAGAGUGAGAUGCUUGACUCAGUGCCUCUCCAGGAAGGGGUGUAAAGGUUGUGGUGUGGCAUUUUGUUGACUGAUCACUGCAGAGCUUUAUGCCUUUACCAAAAGCUGUGAGCUCUCAGGUGAAGGGCAAGGCCACUGUGGUGUUAUAUUGGGGUCACAUGGGAUCAGGACUGUAAUAACAAUGGGAAAUCUGACAGCUGACUUAUGAGCAGGUCUUUAUUCAUAAAAAAGAUAGCUAUAAAUAACAUUCCAACAAUGAAGAUUUGCUGGGUAGUGUUUUUCCGUCUUGGAUUCGAUAGAUUAAAACAUGAACAGACAAUGAUUUGCUUAACACGUGGUGCUAAGAUAAAUAGUUACUGCAGUGAUAAGAACAAUAAGGGAAUUCAUUGCAUUUUUGAACUUCCUAGUUCAGCAAUCUCUGUGGAGCUAUCUAAGCAAGGUGCAUGCUGAGCACGUAGAGUGAAGCGGGGCCAUGAACAUGGCAGUGCCAGGUGCCUGCCUUCAAGGGCACGUAUGAGAUGUUUUACUCUUGGGCUUCUCUGUUUUCGUGUCCCGUGAGUGGUCUUCAGUCAGAGAGUUUAAUCAAAUCUCUUUGAUAAAGAUUUUUUAACGUUACUUGUGUUUAUCUUUCUGGAAGCUAAGAACUUCUUAGAAACACUCUGAUUAGGGCUGAAAUAUCCAAGGGUUAAAAACUUUGUUCUUGAAAUUCAGGAUUCCAGCUUCUCAUUAUUUAAGUGGUAAUAAUUUGAACUGCAGUCAUGUUUAUUUGUGCUAGAAAGUAUGUUUAAACUCAGUGAAAUAUAUUCUCUAACCAUAUGAAGUUUACAAUCUAAAUAAUGAGGACUGGCAUAAUCUUUUUAUCUAACCAAACUUACCCGACCGGUGCUUUGUUAUCAGUUCUCUCUGGCAUCUUUGCACCUACAAAUAUUUUUUGAAGGCAUUGCAGUGCAGGUGGGCUUUCUGUAAAGGUCAUUGGAUGUUGGACCUAAAUGCAUAUAAGGAUCUGCGUUAGAGGAGCAAAGAGCCAAAGUUUUGCAGGAUUCAUAAAUCUCAAGGUUAUUUUUUUCAGGCAUUACGUUUGCAGCUGUGUCCAUAGCUACAGGAUAGAUAAGAGCAGAAGGGAACAUUAAGAACAGUGAAAACUGCACUUAGUUUGUAUCUUCGUUGUGGAGUACAACAGCAAAGUUUUUUAGUUAUUUCCCUCAGUCUGCGUUAUGAAAUGCGUGAGAUCCAACCUUAGCCUGCUACUACCAAGAAGGCUUCACAGGACAUUCGGAGGGACUGACGUGACAUCUAAUGAAGCUUACAUAUGUCUGAGCCAAAUGACCCUACCAUGUGCUGCAGAAAGGAAGUCUAGAGCUGUUCAUGGCCUCCCAGGCGAAUGAUUGCAGUUCCUCUGUACCCGGCAGCACAGAGAACAGGAUGAGAGCAGGUUGGAGCUGAAUCUAUGUCCAAAAUCAAGACAGUGGCACUAAUUUUUGUGCUGGGGAGCUGGGCUGAAUGAACGUACACUUAAAAGGAAGAUGUAAGGCUUGUGUAGGUGAGACUGACAUGAGUCUGUCUCACUUCAGUUUAUAGGGGGGAGAGGAGGUUCUUUUAGGUGAGAUCAGUGGGUUAAAUGUUAGCCCAACCAGCUUAUUAUCUACAGUUGUUUAGGGAAAUGGGGAAGGGAAGUCGGGUGAUAGAAAAGAGAUAGGAAAUAAAAGCAAAGAGUCUUUGUAGAAAGCAAGAGAGAAUUAGUCACCACUGGGUUUCCAGCAUGACUCGUAGUUCAGAUGUUGAUCUCAGGAGCUCAUCCAGUCACCACAGGAGAUGGGAAAAAGCCAGGAAGCUUUGUAGCAAGCAGGGCCUGGGGGAGGUUCUUCCCUAAGAGGUUUUUAUUCUCGUAGGGAAUUCUUCUGUCAAAGAAUUCAUUUCUUUGGGAGUUCUUCUCCCAAAGUUUCUUCUUUAGGUGUUCAGUUCAGCAAUCAGAUGCCACUUAGAGAUAAGAUGUUGUUGUGGAAGGAAACAACUAUGCUAUAUGCUUCACUCAUAAGAGAGAAGCGGGGAGGGAGUUGUGGGGAUGUCCUUGCCAGUAUUUUGUGUGGUACAGUUAACAUUGUUAAUCAGACCUGAAACAUUCAAACCUGAUGGUUGUCUUCGCUUUUUGUUCAUGGUGAGGGCCAUGAAAGCAGAGCUGGGACAUCAGAAACACAGAACUUUUGAAUGCAGAAAUUCCUCAGAGUGCGGGUAGGGGAAGAGCAAAUACUCUUCUGUUUUGAAAACUUCUCAGCUGAAUCUUGGAAGGAGAUCAUACAUACCAUUUCUGUCUCCCUCCCCCAAAAGGAAGACUUUAAUCCACGUAAAUUAAAACAUAAAUUGGAUAAACAGGCUUCUUCUUUGUAUUACUCCCUUUCCUGAAUGUUCCUUACUUGCGGUGGAUAUUCUUGUCUCAAAGCUUUGCUGGAUGUCAUGGCAAUCAGAAAUCAGUCUGCCACAUUACUCAGCCAGCUUGCAUUUCUCUAGCCAUUUUGAAGCCAGGUUCUGUGAUGUCUGCAGCUUAGUGAAGUGUGAUGUUGAAGUGCAGGGGCAGUUCAGGUGAAGGUCAAACUGUUGCACUUCACAACCAAGAAGGUUGGCUGCGUCAGGCAUGGAAGCAGAGUCUGGAUUUGUGGCAGGAAAGAAACUGGAAAAAUGAAGGUAGUACCAGAUCAGCUGUAGUGUGAUUGUGCUAUGAAGUUCUCAUUUUCAUCAUGGAUGCAGCUUUUUCUGCUGUAGUUUCAGGUAUAACUCUGAAUUCUCAGGGCAUUAUCAGCAUAAAGAGAAUUGCCUUUGCACAGUGCUAGGGUGGAAGUGUAUGUUGUCCAAGGGUUACUGUGCUGAACUAGUCUCAGCUUCGGAACUUAAUUUCCUGUUCUGAAAUCUCCUUUGGCAUGUCUCAGGUGGGACCUGUUAUUCUGAGGGCUGCCAAACACCAGCGGUUCCUGAUGAAGCCCAGACACUGCAGGUUCUGGGUAUUUCUGAGACCACAAACUCAGUUGUAUGAAGAUAGAUUUUUCCAGAAUGGCUGCUUUAAGUGAAUGGUCCUUAAAAAUUCAAGUCUUAUAAUGUCUCUUUCUCUUCAGCAUUGUCAGCAUCUUCAGUAAUGUCUUCUACACAGGAAUAAUCUGAGGCUAGUUACUAUCAGACUUACAGAUUCUAUGGUAAAAGGAGGCAUCAGUAAGAAAAGUGCAUUAUUGCUGGGAUCCUUUUGGCAAAGUAAAGUAAUGCCAUGUCUCAUUCAUAACAAAUAACAAAACAAUAGCAAUUUGGAUAUUCAGAUAAAGAAAUUGGAAAACAAUUAUAACAGGAGCAGUGGGGAGGGUGAAAUCAAGGUAAAUAUUAAUCAAAUACCUGCUAACAAUAAGGUACAGCCCGUGUCUAAAGUUUUAGCCUAGAUUUACUUCUCUCCAUGCCAUUCUUCCAUGUGAUCUUAUGUAAAUAAUUUGUAAAAUGUGAUAAUACUCCUUCCUCACAGGUGUGUUGUGGGUGUAAGUAUAAUAAGAUUAUGAAGUUCCCAGAAUAUGUGAUAAGAAUCACCUUGAGUGGACAUUGUUUUACGUGCAGGUUUGGUAACACAGUCGCCUUCAACUUCACAGAGUGUUUGCUUUCAGUUGAAACUACUUUUCAUCUAUUCUUACAAGAAGUCAGACUUUAUUAGAGUUGAGAUGUACAGAUCUAUGGGGUUCUUUUGUUUGCUUGUUUGCUUUACAUUGAAGCAGACUAAAAGUUAUUUCCAUAAUAAUACUGUCUUCCUUAAUCUAGUAACGUUGUACUAAUUUUAUGCAGUUCUAUUAGGAAAUUGAGAUUACAAAGCGUUUUGUUAAGAGCCGUUUAUAUUUCUCAGUAUUAUUUUUAAUUACAUUCUGACCUCAUUCAGUGUUUCAUCUUUGAACACUGAUGACUUAAACUAGAGACAUUUCAAGGAGCAUCUUGAGGGAUUUAGGGCAUUUUGGAGCCCAAUUUCAUGCGUAUGUAUUUCUAAGUAACUAGGAUGUUUUUGAAAGAUUUUUGAAGAUGUCAUCCUUCGUGGCUAGCUUGCUGUUCAUCACAGCCCUCAGUCCCCAAUCCAGUUCACAGAGUCACAGAAAAAAGUAAUCAGAAGAGAUCAGGAUGCAAAUUGAUCUGGUGUCCUCUGACAUCCAUGCUGGACAUUACCUGCUGCUGCAUUUGCUGCUGACUUGUGGUGCUGGCACUGAGAAGGUGACAUAAAUAACAGAGUCCUUGCUCAGCAGCAACCUCAUACCAAGGGUGUGGCUGCCAAAUCUGUAUGAGGGAUGUCACAGAGAAUGCUUUGCUGUGACAUUUGAGAAUAGAUCAUAGGAUAUCAAUAAAUCAGCAGACUUGGUGAAUCAGUUCUCAGCCCUCAUUUCUAUAUAAUCUUUCUUUGGACUUCCUUAUGACUGUCUGUAAUAUUUUACUUACCUGUGCAAAGCAUUUCUAAUAGACAGUAAUUUUAUAGUACGAAUUGCACACCAACCAUAUAGUCUGUUCAUAAACUUCAACAGAAAAAAGAUUGCUUUCCUUUUUAAGCCCAUCAGCUUUGCAGAGAUUUAUUACACUGUACGUUCUGUCAGAGCUAUCAGGUAGUUCACAGAUUUACAGUAUGAGAGCUGAACUUGCUGCUAUGCUGGACAGAUAGCAGCACUGAGCGUGGAAAGCAUUAGCUGAGUUGCUUUGUAAAUGUCAUAGUAUAAAAUCGUUACUAAUAAAGUCAGUCUUUUGUUAGAAUAUCAGCAAAGAGUGGGGAAGGAACACACAUAGAAACAUAAAAAACACUCUAACAAACCAACUACAACAACAACAACUCUGAAGUGGAGCCUUGCAAAUUAGUUUGGACUAACUUUGUAAGUGACAUGGCUUCGCUUAGAUGCUUUCACCAAGGGAAAGCUUGCAGAAAUUCACUGCUCAAUUGCAAUUGGGUGCCAGUAAGAGCUAGAACGUGUUGGAGAGGUCUCUCUGCAUUUAGGUACCUCAAAUAAAACACGGGAGUAUCAUAGAGGUGCGCCACAUCGAGCAUUAGGAAACAAAAGCAGCCGCUCCUGAGCAGAAAAACUAUAUCCACGUUAUUUAUAAUGAUACACGGGCGUACUUACUGCUCUAUUUAUAAUGAUACUCGGAGCACUUCUCACCCGAACUGCUCCAGCGUUCCGAAUUGCCGUAUUCCCCGCUGUAAACUAAUUGUUACAGUAGUGCCCUCUGCUGGCCGACAAUGUUAAAUAUAUGUCUAAGGAAUAUUUUUUCUACUCACGUAUUUAAAACUUAGUUCUCAUAAAUCGUUUACAUUUAAAAAGACACAGAAAGAUACAGUAAUAUUGUGUUGUUUUGUUAAUGUACAAGUCUUAAAAAAAAGGAACACAAAAUAUCCCAUUGCGAUGCUAUCAGCAUAGAUGCCUGUCAUUUUCCUACAUCAACCAGUACCUCUGAUUUAUACAAGAGAAAGAAAAUACAGAUGAUUUUAGGUGUAAUCUGAGGACUUCUGACUACUCAAAUGCUCAGUACUGAGAUAUUUCUGUAGGCCCAAGCACAGGAGCUACUUUGAAGAUGGAACCUCCUCCCUUUUUGUGAUCACCUUUGUAGUGCUGCUGUUGAUCACACCAUUUUGCUUUCUAGGUUGGGGUUUGCUCUGUAGAUACGAUCUGACCAUAUUUAGAAAAACAGCCACCAACUGUCUCAUUGGUUUGUAAUUGCAAGCAAGAGACAGUAAACAACUUGAUUCUGUUAUCCUCCAGUCAAGAUUUAAAACUGUACUUUAAGGGAUUAUUAAGUACAUAAAACUGGAGGAGUCUGUGUUAAGAGGGAUCUUACAUUAUUUUACAGAGUAAUAUUUCUAAGAAUAGAAUUGCAAGUUAUGUGGCUAGAUUAGUGACAGAGAUAAGGAAUCUCCAGCAUAAUGUUAGCAAUAUUGUCCAUUACUUGUGUGCAGUCUGAGUAGGGGCAAUUAGAGGGAUUAAAAUUGGAGAUCUUUAAAUGCCAGCACCAAGUUUUGUUCUUGAUAAAGGUUGCUUUAAGCAGGUCGGUUCUAUAGUAGUAAAUGUGUUUUCCAAUUUUAGCUAUCCUAGCAACUGAAGUGCUCUGAGUUGGUAACCCAAAUAUUUAAAAACACAAGUGGUUAAAGAUUAAUCCACUGUCAUGAUGAUGGUGUGCCAAUAGAAGCUGUGUUUGAAGAUUUGCGUUUUGAUUGAAAAACAAGGUGACAGUAACACUUGAGUAGUUACAGUCACUUACAGAAUAUGAGAUGUUUAAAGCAAAUGGUUACCAACUGAAUCUAGGGUUUUCCACCAUGAAUGGAUACUCAAACUGUUCUGCUAACCAUACGGAAAUUUGGAGUCGUAAUUUAGUACUUGCACUGGGCAUCCCUCAGCUGACCAUUAACAUAGCAUCUGUGAUCUUCAACUGCACAGCCAUCAUCACCAGAAAGGCAACGAAGGAUCUGCACAAGCCCAUUUCUAUCCUCUUCUGCAACUUGGCUUUUUCUGAUCUCUUCACAAGUUUUUCUGGUUUUUGGAUUUCAAUGCUGUUCAUCACCAAACCUGAUGACACAAUCUUUGGAUCCAAGGAUAUGCUUGCACCUUAUGCCUUAUAUACUACAUCUAUUUUAUCCACCAUCUAUAACUUGGUAAGCAUUGGAAUUGAACGCUACCUGGCUGUGGCUGAAAGUAUUAAGACAAGGUUCAGGGUUGCUAGAAGCCAUUCCAUAGCUGUAGUUUUAAUUAACUGGGUCCUUGCUUUCUUUCUGGGCUGCUUGCCAUUGAUGGGGUGGAACUGCUUGCACACAGGAAAAAAUGUCUCAGUCCUUUACGGUCCGUUUUGUGUUGACUACCUCAUCUUCAUCACCACUCCCAAUGUUGUGGCGGCUUUUAUUGUUCCUCUGUUCACCUACCUUGGAAUCAUUCUGAUCCUGAGGAAAAGAAAGCUGAGAAUGAAAGCGUGUGGACAAGCUAUCGGUACCUACAAAUCAGCUGAAAUCCAGGUUGCCAGAACUAGUAUUUUUAUAUGGCUCCUGGCAUUGGUGUCCUAUGCUCCUCUUUUUGCAGGAGUCAUCUUUGAUGCAAUAAACCACCAAUGCCCCGCUGACCUCUACCCAAGCGUCUACAUCUUCCGAAACUGCACAGCUAUGCUGAUAACCAUGAACUGUUUGGGAAACCCUAUCAUAUAUACACUGAAAACCAAAACCAUAGGGGCUAAACUCAAAUCUCUGAAAUGCCUUUCUGGUAAACGUCUCCAAGCCUGCACCAUCGCGAACAUCUAAUCAGUCCGUCCCUGCGCUCCGGACUCUUUUCUGCUUCCAGGGCAGAUGCUCGAACCCUCCGCUGGUUGCGGCGCUUCAGCACCCGCGGGGGGACAGCUCCGGGCCGCCAUGCGGGGCUGCUCGGGGUGAGCGCGGCUGUGAGCUGCGCUGUGUCCGGGUGGAGGAUGGAGACCGUUCGGGCUGGAACCGAUUUUACUCCAUCAGCUGUGUUUGCUUCGAGUUUGGAAAUUCGCUUCUGACGUGUUUUCUUUGCUGCUCGGAUUUAUGGUCUUUGCCUCUUGUUUUGUGAGGUUUUUUGGAAAAUGUUCGGUUGCAUAGGGGGAAAUGUAAUGUUACUUUCUCAUUUGCGGCAUGUAUGUUUUAGUAUUUGAUGAAUCAUGCCCCAAUAAGGGGCAUUCAGCGCCGUGUUUCUGUUGUCAGUGUACCUGCAGUGUGUAGUGUUGUGUUUCUGUGAGAGCUCUGUGACCCCGUUCCAUGUCCCUGUGAGCAGCAGCACGCUCCUGUAUUGUGCCUGUUGAUGUUGGAUGUGAUUUAGGAGGGAACCCCAAUGGAGGUUUCACGAUCAGAAUUGUAGUCACGGUGCAAAAUGUAAUAAAAAUCUCAGGACCGCGUGUUUUGUAGAAGGAAAAGGUCUCCCCUCUGUCCGCAGAGGGAAUGGCUGUUGGUUAAUGAACGGGUCAGAUCCUGGGGUAAAUGAAUGCUGUGUACUGAAUGACACGGAGAUGUUGUCUAGAAGGUCUCAACGGCCCAGUUUGUUCUCUCUCUUCUUAGUGACAGACCUGGAGGCGAUGGCCAAUAGACCCAAGUGAUUCUCGCUCAUCGUUCUGCUGUUAAAUCGUGUUUGGAGGAGCUGCUCCGCAGUGGGUGUGAGGAAUGGGGUUUGUGUGAGAGCCCCUGCCCGCUGGUGCAGCAGGGAGGCACUGUUACCUUAACAAACCACGUACUCACUAUUUUACAUCUUUGCCAUAAACCCUCUUUCUUGCAGUUCUUUACCCCACAGAGCUCUGGGAGAGAUCACAUCGCUGUUAGUUCUAUGAGUGUAUCUAUGGACGUGCUCAGUGAUCAUGGGGGGGAUGGGUCGCCGGUCGGACUCGCUGAUCUUAGCGCUCCUUUCCAUCCAGAACGAUUCGGUGAUAUUUUAAUCCCGACCCUCCCCUGAUCCCCUCCCUUCUCCCCUCCCACAGCCGCUGUUCCGGCUCCGGGCCCUGCCCCGCUCGUCGUUCUGCUGCCAGGCCUGGGAGGGGCGGAGCGUGUCGGCCAUGCGGGCUGCGCGGCGCUGCGGGGUGUGCGGGGCGGACGGAGCCGCCAAGUAUCGCUGUCCGCGCUGCGCUGCCGCAUAAGCGAUGUGUACCGCAGAGGGAACCGCCGGGGGACGAACGGGAAGCGCAGCGCGACCUGACCGCGGACAGCGAGUGGUCGGUGUCGGACAUCCUGACGGAGGAGGACGAGCAGGACCG